AGGACGAACGCUGGCGGCGUGCUUAACACAUGCAAGUCGAGCGGUAAGGCCUUUCGGGGUACACGAGCGGCGAACGGGUGAGUAACACGUGGGUGAUCUGCCCUGCACUUCGGGAUAAGCCUGGGAAACUGGGUCUAAUACCGGAUAUGACCUCAGGUUGCAUGACUUGGGGUGGAAAGAUUUAUCGGUGCAGGAUGGGCCCGCGGCCUAUCAGCUUGUUGGUGGGGUAAUGGCCUACCAAGGCGACGACGGGUAGCCGACCUGAGAGGGUGACCGGCCACACUGGGACUGAGACACGGCCCAGACUCCUACGGGAGGCAGCAGUGGGGAAUAUUGCACAAUGGGCGAAAGCCUGAUGCAGCGACGCCGCGUGAGGAUGACGGCCUUCGGGUGUAAACCGUCUUUCAGCAGGACGAAGCGCAAGUGACGUACCUGCAGAAGAAGCAACCGGCUAACUACGUGCCAGCAGCCGC
rnacentral:rRNA from 1 species